UUUUAAUCAUUUCAAGUUUGG
rnacentral:piRNA from 1 species